CAGUAGCCGCGGUAAUACGAAGGGUGCAAGCGUUAAUCGGAAUUACUGGGCGUAAAGCGUGCGCAGGCGGUGUUGUAAGACUGAUGUGAAAUCCCCGGGCUCAACCUGGGAACUGCAUUGGUGACUGCAACGCUGGAGUGCGGCAGAGGGGGAUGGAAUUCCGCGUGUAGCAGUGAAAUGCGUAGAUAUGCGGAGGAACACCGAUGGCGAAGGUAAUCCCCUGGGCCUGCACUGACGCUCAUGCACGAAAGCGUGGGGAGCAAACAGGAUUAGAUACCCCCGUAGUCCCUGUCUCUUAUAU
rnacentral:rRNA from 1 species